rnacentral:rRNA from 1 species
GACGAACGCUGGCGGCGUGCUUAACACAUGCAAGUCGUACGGUAAGGCCCUUUCGGGGGUACACGAGUGGCGAACGGGUGCGUAACACGUGAGUAACCUUCCCACAACUUUGGGAUAACGCUAGGAAACUGGUGCUAAUACUGGAUAUGUGCUCCUUCUGCAUGGUGGGGGUUGGAAAGCUCCGGGGGUUGUGGAUGGACUCGCUGGCUAUCAGCUUGUUGGUGGGGUAGUGGCCUACCAAGGCGGCGAGGGGUAGCCGGACUGCGUGGGUGACCGGCCACAUUGGGACUGAGGGACGGCCCAAGCACCGACGGGAGGGAGAAGGGGGGAAGCUUGAACAAUGGGCGCAAGCCUGAUGCAGAAACGCCGCGGGCGGGAUGACGGCCUUAGGGUUGAAAAACGAAUUCAGCAGGGACGAAGCUUUUUGUGACGGUACCUGCAGAAGAAGCAACGGCUAACUACGUG